ACGAACGCUGGCGGCGUGCUUAACACAUGCAAGUCGAACGGAAAGGCCCUGCUUGCAGGGUACUCGAGUGGCGAACGGGUGAGUAACACGUGGGUGAUCUGCCCUGCACUUCGGGAUAAGCCUGGGAAACUGGGUCUAAUACCGGAUAGGACCAUCGUUUAGUGUCGGUGGUGGAAAGUUUUUCGGUGCAGGAUGAGCUCGCGGCCUAUCAGCUUGUUGGUGGGGUAAUGGCCUACCAAGGCGUCGACGGGUAGCCGGCCUGAGAGGGUGGACGGCCACAUUGGGACUGAGACACGGCCCAGACUCCUACGGGAGGCAGCAGUGGGGAAUAUUGCACAAUGGGCGCAAGCCUGAUGCAGCGACGCCGCGUGGGGGAUGAAGGCCUUCGGGUUGUAAACUCCUUUCAACCAUGACGAAGCAUUAUGUGACGGUAGUGGUAGAAGAAGCACCGGCUAACUACGUGCCAGCAGCCGCGGUAAUACGUAGGGUGCGAGCGUUGUCCGGAAUUACUGGGCGUAAAGAGCUCGUAGGUGGUUUGUCGCGUCGUCUGUGAAAUUCCGGGGCUUAACUCCGGGCGUGCAGGCGAUACGGGCAUAACUUGAGUGCUGUAGGGGAGACUGGAAUUCCUGGUGUAGCGGUGAAAUGCGCAGAUAUCAGGAGGAACACCGAUGGCGAAGGCA
rnacentral:rRNA from 1 species